rnacentral:rRNA from 1 species
UACGUAGGGGGCAAGCGUUGUCCGGAUUUAUUGGGCGUAAAGAGCGUGUAGGCGGCCAUGUAGGUCCGUUGUGAAAACUCGAGGCUCAACCUCGAGACGCCGAUGGAAACCAUGUGGCUAGAGUCCGGAAGAGGAGAGUGGAAUUCCCGGUGUAGCGGUGAAAUGCGCAGAUAUCGGGAGGAACACCGGUGGCGAAGGCGGUUCUCUGGGCCUGACCUGACGCUGAGGAGCGAAAAGCGUGGGGGAGCGAACAGGG